rfam:Desulfobacterales bacterium S5133MH16 k99_736399, whole genome shotgun sequence.
CGCUUUGCAUGGAAACAUGCAAAGUGAUCAGACAGAAGUCAGCAGCGGCCAUAGUAGCCCAAGGUCCGGGGUAAUGCCCGGGAUAUGGUGAAGGGC